AUGCAGAAAGCAUCUUGGAAGACUUGCAGUCAUACCGAGGAGCUGGCCAUGAAAUACGAGAGGCAAUCCAGCAUCCCGUAGAUGAGAAGUUGAAGGAGAAGGCGUGGGGUGCAGUUGUACCACUAGUAGGCAAAUUAAAGAAAUUUUAUGAAUUUUCUCAGAGGUUAGAAGCAGCAUUAAGAGGUCUUUUGGGAGCCUUGACAAGCACGCCCUACUCUCCCACCCAGCACCUAGAGCAAGAGCAAGCUCUUGCUAAACAGUUUGCAGAAAUUCUUCAUUUCACACUCCGGUUUGACGAACUCAAGAUGACAGAUCCUGCCAUACAGAAUGAUUUCAGCUAUUAUAGAAGAACAUUGAGUCGUAUGAGGAUUAAUAAUGUACCAGUAGAAGGAGAAUAUGAAGUAAAUAAUGAGUUGGCAAACCGAAUAUCUUUGUUUUAUGCUGAGGCGACUCCAAUGCUGAAAACCUUGAGUGAUGCCACCACGAAAUUUGUAUCCGAGAAUAAAAAUUUACCGAUAGAAAAUACGACCGACUGUUUAAGCACCAUGGCUAGUGUAUGCAGAGUCAUAAUGGAAACACCGGAAUGCAGAAACAGGUUUGCAAACGAGACAGUGUCGUUCUGCUUGAGGGUGAUGGUGGGCAUCAUGAUACUCUAUGAUCACAUGCAUCCAGUGGGAGCAUUUGCCAAAACUUCCAAAAUCAAUAUGAAAGGUUGUAUCAAAGUUCUUAAGGACCAGCCUCCCAACAGUGUAGAAGGUCUUCUAAAUGCUCUCAGGUACACAGCAAAACAUUUGAAUGAUGAGACUACCUCCAAGCAAAUUAAAUCCAUGCUGCAAUAACAGUUCUGGAAUAAGCACCUGCUGGAGACAGAAGACAGUAUUCUGCAAUGACUGAGAAGGCACAGUUUUUUAGUGAUUGCAAUUCCUAUCUCAUUUAUUCUUGCUUUUCUUUCUUUCCUCUGUUCCUCUUCCCUCUUUUUUAAUCAUGUUCUUGUUCUUAAGACUUCUUUUCUGUGCCAAAAUCAGUAAAGUUUCACUCUGAAGUGUCCUUGGAUCUUGU